GACAGAGGGGGCAAGCGUUGCUCGGAAUCACUGGGCGUAAAGGGCGCGUAGGCGGGAUGGCAAGUCAGUCGUGAAAUCUCUCGGCUCAACCGAGAAACGUCGGCUGAUACUGCCGUUCUUGAGGGAUGCAGAGGAGACUGGAAUUCCCGGUGUAGCGGUGAAAUGUGUAGAGAUCGGGAGGAACACCAGUGGCGAAGGCGGCUCUCUGGACAGGUACUGACGCUGAGACGCGAAAGCGUGGGUAGCAAACAGG
rnacentral:rRNA from 1 species